rnacentral:rRNA from 1 species
AGGACGAACGCUGGCGGCGUGCUUAACACAUGCAAGUCAAGGGGGCCCAGCAAUGGGCAACCGGCGAACGGGUGCGUAACACGUGAGCAACCUACCGAAAUGUGGGGGAUAGCCGGCCUAACGGCCGAGUAAUACCGCAUACGCUCUCGAUGAGGCAUUUCAUUGAGAGGAAACCUACGGGACAUUUCGAGGGGCUCGCGGCCUAUCAGCUAGUUGGCGAGGUAACGGCUCACCAAGGCAACGACGGGUA